AGUGAACGCUGGCGGCGUGCUUAACACAUGCAAGUCGAACGAGAACGGAUUAUAGCUUGCUAUAAUUGUCAGCUAAGUGGCGCACGGGUGAGUAAUGUAUAGGUAAUAUGCCUCUUACUAAGGGAUAACAAAUGGAAACGUUUGCUAAUACCUUAUACUCCUUAUUAACAGAAGUUAAUAAGGGAAAGAUUUAUUGGUAAGAGAUUGGCCUGUAUUGUAUCAGUUAGUUGGUGGGGUAAUGGCUUACCAAGACUAUGACACAUAACUGGUUUGAGAGGAUGAUCAGUCACACUGGAACUGAGACACGGUCCAGACUCCUACGGGAGGCAGCAGUGGGGAAUAUUGCACAAUGGACGAAAGUCUGAUGCAGCAACGCCGCGUGGAGGAUGACACAUUUCGAUGCGUAAACUCCUUUUAUAUGAGAAGAUAAUGACGGUAUUAUAUGAAUAAGCACCGGCUAACUCCGUCCCAGCCGCCGCAGUAA
rnacentral:rRNA from 1 species